GAUGAACGCUAGCUGCAGGCCUAACACAUGCAAGUCGAGGGGCAACGAGGAGUAGCAAUACUCUGUCGGCGACCGGCGCACGGGUGCGUAACGCGUAUGCGACCUACCUAUAACAGGGAGAUAACCCAGAGAAAUUUGGACUAAUAUCCCAUAUUAUUAUUGAGCUGCAUGGUUUGAUAAUGAAAGACGCGAGUUGGUUAUAGUUGGGCAUGCGUGACAAUAGCUAGUUGGUAAGGUAACGGCUUACCAAGGCGACGAUGUCUAGGGGAACUGAGAGGUUAAUCCCCCACACUGGUACUGAGACACGGACCAGACUCCGACGGGAGGCAGCAGUGAGGAAUAUUGGUCAAUGGUCGGAAGACUGAACCAGCCAUGCCGCGUGAAGGAAGAAUGUCCUAUGGAUUGUAAACUUCUUUUGUAGGGGAGCAAUAAGUCUCAUGCGUGAGAUGAUGAGAGUACCUUACGAAUAAGCAUCGGCUAACUCCGUGCCAGCAGCCGCGGUAAUAC
rnacentral:rRNA from 1 species